rnacentral:rRNA from 1 species
UACGUAGGUGGCAAGCGUUGUCCGGAUUUACUGGGCGUAAAGGGCGUGCAGGCGGUUUGUUAAGUGCAGGGUGAAAGCUCCCGGCUCAACUGGGAGAGGUCCUUGCAUACUGGCAAACUCGAGGGAGGCAGAGGAAAGUGGAAUUCUCGGUGUAGCGGUGAAAUGCGUAGAUAUCGAGAGGAACACCUGCGGCGAAGGCGGGUUGCUGGGCUGACACUGACGCUGAUGCGCGAAAGCUAGGGGAGCGAACGGG